rnacentral:lncRNA from 1 species
UGGAGGUAAUUGAAUCAUGGGGGCAGUUUCCCCCAUGCUGUUCUCUCGAAAAGUGAGUGAGUCUCACAAGAUCUGAUGGUUUUAUAAGGGGCUCCUCCCCCUUGGCUCAGCACUUAUCCUUCCUGCCGCCCUGUGAAGAGGUGCCUUCCACCAUGAUUGUAACUUUCCUGGGGCCUCCCAAGCCAUGCAGAACUGGCUUCUAUGAGGCUGUCUUGUAGGAUGCCCAUGACGAUCCUCCUGACACUAAGAUGAGAAAACUAAGGCUCAAAGGGACACCUGGCUUUCCUAAGACCUGUAAGUGGAAAAGUCAGCAUUUGAAUGGAGAACUCGCAGCUUUCAGAUUCUAGACUUGUUUCACCUCACCAGACUGCUUCUGCUCCUAGUGAUUCCUUCCCUUAGAUUAAGCCUUGCUCUCUUCCUGUGGAAUCAUGAAGAAGAUUAUAUUAGUAAAUCCCUGAACAUUCCCUGAUUGGGGAAUGAGGGUCAAACCAAGGCAAAUGGCAGGAUUGACACUCACAUCAAGGGCUGGCUCAUUAAGGGCUCCGGACCUGGCAAUCGAGUUGCAUUGCAGAUUUUGUAAGUAUGCAAGACCACGCCAGCCACCUUUCCAGGGAGAGACCAUGCAAAGCAGGCAGGUGAUCCAAGGGCUGGGAGUGGUGAGGAGUGCUCCAGCCCCUGAGCAGCUGUCAUCCCAGCACAAAGUGUCAGAAGAGACCUCAAAGUGUGGUCUGCAGAGCAGCAGCAUCUGCAUCACCUGGGAGCUUGUUAGAAAUGCAGAAUCUUCUGAGAGAACCAGACCUGCUGCAUCAAAAUCUGCAUUUUAACAAGAUUGUAACUUGGAUACACAGUAACACUUAAAAAGCAUGGGGCAGAGAGGCUAAGCCAGCAGCUUCUCAUCACACUCCAAUCUGAUGCUGCUAGUGCUCCAAAAAGCUCUCAUAUCCUCACUGACUAGCCUAGGGCUGUGUCUGUCGAUGCAUUAUAUGACACAGAUGAAGACUAUUGUGUACCUUCCUCAAUUUUUACACCCCAUUGUUUCAGCCUCAUGUACACCUUUAAUGCAAACAUCAAUGCAAGAAUUCUUGUGACAUUAAUUUUCUGGAACAACCUGUUUUUCAGAGCAAAUUUCAUUAAGCCAUUUUAAUCCAGAGUUUAAUUUUUUAUACAGCUUGACUAAAUCAUUUCCAUUUUUUUUCCAUUAGAAUGUCUAUUUGUAGUAACAUUAUUUUCAUGGGAUCAAUUAUUUUCUGUUUAAAUUUACAACAGGCAUUUGACUCAUCAAUCUCUUUUUAUAUACCAACUUUUUGCUGAUUCUAACUUCUGCUAUUUGGAGAGGUUUUCUUGUUUGUGUGUUUGAUUCUUUUGUGGCCAUUCUUUCUAUUAAGUGAAAAUCAUCUGGAUCAAAUUUUGUAGAUUUAAAUUUUGUUAUUAGCGAUACCUGUUUUUUUCCUGUCAAUUUUAGCUCAUUACCCAUUCUAGUCAUCUUAACCCUGCUAGUUUUGUUAGUUGCUGAUCACUUUUACCAUACCAGUAAUACGUGGUAGAAGUAAUCACCAGAGUGAAAGCUCUGCAAAGGCAGGAUUUCUGUCCCCCCUUUUUUUUUCUGCCUUAUACUUGAGACUUACUGCAUGGCACAUAGAAAGUGCUCCAUAUGGCCGGGCGCAGUGACUCAUGGCUGUAAUCCUCGCGCUUUGGGAAGCCAAGGCAGGUGGAUCACUUGAGGUCAGGAGUUUGAGACCAGCCUGGCCAACAUGGUGAAACCCUGUCUCUACUAAAAAUACAAAAAAAUUAGACAGGCGUGGUGGUAGGCACCUGUAGUCCCAGCUACUCGGGAGGCUGAGGCAGAAGAAUCACUUGAACCCAGGAGGCAGAGGUCGUGGUGAGGCGAAGUCACACCACUGCCCUCCAGCCUGGGUGACAGAGCAAAACUCCGUUUAAAAAAAAAAAAAAAGAAAGAAAGUACUCCAUAAAUAUUUGUAGAUGGAAAGAAUGAUAUUCACUUAUGAUUUAACCAAAGACUGACGGUUUAUCUAUUUGAUAAAAAGACUGUGAGAAACAGAGAUUGAUGGAUACAGGAGAGAAAGUGGAGAAGAGAGAAGAUGGAGACAGCACAGACACAAGCACAUAAACUUGCACAUGCAGACACACAUUGCACAUGCACAUGCAUGCACAUAGCCACGCACAUAUAAACCCACAUGCAUGCACACAGCCACACACAUAUAAACCCACAUGCAUGCACACAGCCACACACAUAUAAACCCACAUGCAUGCACACAGCCACACACGUAUACACAAACACACAUGCAUGCACACAGCCACACACAUAUAUGUAAGCACCCGUGCAUGCACACAGCCACACACAUAUAUGUAAGCACACAUGCAUGCACACAACCACACACAUAUGUAAGCACACAUGCAUGCACACAGCCACACAGAUACACACAAGCAUGCACAUACACAGAGGCAUAUAUGCACAUUCACUAACAUACACGUAGUCACAGAUACACCCGCAGGUGCAAACGCCUAUAUAUGUGUUCACAUUCAUACGUGGGAGUUAAUAUAUUUGUGCUCACACAAGUGGAGGGUAGAGUUGUGGUUAUUAGACGCUGGGAAGAGUAGAGGAAGAGAAGAUGGGGAGAGGCUGGUUGGUGGACACAAAGUUAAGCUGAAUGAGAGAAGUAAUUUCUACUGUUCUGUAUUACUGUAGGAUGAAUAUGGUUAACAAUAACUAGUGUAUAUUUUCAAAAAGCCAGAAGAGAGGAUCUUGAAUGUUCAUAACACAAAUAAAUGAUAAAUGUUUGAGGUGAUGGAUAUGCUACUCUGAUUUGAUCAUUACACAUUGUAUAAAUGUAUUUAAAUAUCACUCUGUAUCCCAUAGAUAUGUAGAAUUAUUGUGUCAACUAAAAAUUAAAGAAAAAAACCACACAUAUAUGCACACACAGACACGCACAUGAACACACAGACAUACUCAUGCAUAUGCGUAUACAUGCAGAGUUACACAUAUACACAAACACGCAUAUAUGCACCCAUAGACGUGCACAUGAAGACACUUAUGCACAUGUACACACAUGCGUACAGCCACACAAUACACAUAUACACAAAUACCCAUAAAUAUGCACACAUAGCAUGCACACAGAGAUACAUAUGCACACACACAGCCACAUAUGCAAAUGUAUGCACACACAGACACACAUAUGCCCAUACAUAGGCGUAUACACAUACAGAUUCAGAUAUACACAUACAAACACUCAUGUACAUAUGCAAACACAUGUACACACACAGUCUGCUGGCAUAUUGAUGGCUAAACCAAUGCAGGGUAGGGUAAAAUGUCUCUGGUGCAAGGUCAGUAGGAUAAAAACUGCAGGAUCAAAUGGCAUGCUUAACAACACUCCUCUUUGGGGUAUCAGUGUCUCCAUUUUACAACCAGUGCUUAAUCAAAUGCAUAGAGUUGAACCGAAUAUUGGAAAAUGAAUUGCUACUUUUGAAUGAAUCUACUGAAAAAUCAUACUUGUCCUGGGUCAGACCGUGUGAAAAGCACUGGGUAUUAGAGAUGAAAAGUGGUUGGCCCUUUUUCUUUGAAAGCUUAGUCCAGUGGGGAAGAUGGAUGUGGAAGCUGAGCAAUUAAAAUGCAGCUUGAUAAAAGCUGUGCUGAAAAAGCCUCAUGGAGCAGUGGGGGCUGGGAGGGAGCAGGUCUUACACUGAAUGAUCAAGUUUAGUGGGAGCUGUUUAAAUUCUGAGCCAUCAGGCAUUUCUGCUGGAUUCCUUUCAGUGCGUUUGUUAAUCAAUUAUAAAAUAAUAAUAAUGAACACUUCGGGAGAGAGGAUGGAGGUUGAAAGACAGUAGAGGGCUGGACUUGAGGUUGGAAGAUUUGCAGAGGCCUGGAUUGUGCAUUCGACCUUUACAAAUCGAAGCGAGAGGCUUUGCAUCUCUGAACAUCAGGAUUCCACUCUAUAAAAAGGAGAAUGAAAGCAUUCAGUUUAUAGGUUUGCUGUGAGGGCUCAACGAGAAUGUGGAUCCAAAAAAGCUUUGGAAACCAAAAUACCACUAGUUAGCUUGCUGCUUUAUUAUCCAAAAGAGGCUGCAAAGAUUUGAGGUUUGUUUGUAGUUUGUUUGUAGAUUAGUCAGUGUCUACUAAAAUAACAAUGUGUAACAACCAUGCCCAAAUCUUGGUGGCUUAAUAUCUUAAACGUUAUUUUUCUCAUUCAUGAGGCUGUAGGUUGGUUGGAGUUUGGCAGAUGUAGGCUGGAAUUAGCUGGACCUGCCUCCAGGACCUGGGUUGGAUCCAAGUCUUCUGUACACGUCACCUUCUUCUUUUGGGGCCAAUGUUACGUGGGAUUUUAAUUUCAUGGUGCUAGCAGAAGUGUAAGAGGGCAUGCCAACCACGUGAAUACUUUUAAAGCCUAACAUCCUAUAGGCCAAAGUCAGCCAGAGGUCCAAACUCAACUUCAAUAGGCAGGGAAAGUCCUCCACCUACUUUACCAGGGGAGUACUGCAGAGCAAUGACUGAGGAAGGAAAUGUAUAAUCCUAUUAGGGAGGGAGCUGGGGACCAGGAACACAAAUCCCUCAAGGCAGGACUAGUAAUGGUUGGCUUCCCAAGGUUGACAGACUGGGUCUUAAUUCCUGGCACUGCUCCUCUCUAGCCAUGAGACUUUAGGCAAGUUAACAUUUCAGAGCCUCAGUUUCCUCAUCUGUAAAGUGGGCAUAAUAAUAGAAUUCUCACAGAAUUUCCGUGAGGAUUGCCUGAUUCAUGACAACAGCCUUAUAAGCGAUCCCCUUCUUUUACCUCGCAUCUUCUGUAAUCUCUUCUCUAUGCUUCAUCCUUUAAAUACAAAAGUCACCCAUAAAGACAGAAAACAGAUUAGUGGUGGCCAGAGGUGGUGGAUGGAGAGAGGGGGAGAAAUGAGGAGUGCUAAGGGGUAUGAGGUUUCCUUUUGGGGCGAUGAAAAUGUUCUAAAAUUGAUGUGGUCACGGUUGUACAACUGCAAAUAUACAAUCCCUCUGCCUGGAACCUUUUCCCCAAGGUAUCUGCCCCCACCAUAAAUCCUAACUUGCGUACUAUAUAAUGAGGCUUUUCUGGACCACCCUAUUUAAUUACCCACUCCUUUCUGUCCAUGCCUCUCUCUCGAUAUAUUUUCUCUGAGUGUUUGUAGCAACCUGACAUAUUUUGCAUGCUUAUACACUAUGUACUUUAUAUUAAAGCACAGUUAUGUAAUUUA